AGGCUGAUUUAUCCUGUUUCUGAAUGAACAAGCGCAUUUCAGCAGCAUCUCCUGCAUUCCUGGACGCAUUUCUUUUUCUGUCAGAGUGCCCUGGCACUUCUUUUCCCGCUUUGGCUGAGCAAAUUUUCAACACUUCUUAAGUUACAACUUCAUCUUUCCUGCGUAGCCGAGGACGGGAGGUGAAGCAAUGCAUCAGCUGCCGUCUCCUCACUUCCCACCCUGCGUUCUCAGCUGACCUGAGAUGGCCUCCUCCCCAAAAAAAGAGAAGAACUCUUCUGCUUCCUGUGCCCACGAGGGUUGAAGACAGUCACCCAAGAUUCCGCAUGACUGCAAGUAUAAAUCUGACGGAAGUAAUUACCCAUCAUCCUCCAGGGGCCCGGAGCGCGCUUCCUGCCUCCUCUUCAACUUCGACGUAGUUCAACCUUUUUCCACUCAGAUGGGAGGAGAGUUGUGGUGCAUGAGCGGGCAAAGUCGUACUUGGAGUUAAUUGCCUCGGGCAGGUGAGGACAUCAGUUCCAGAUUGUGCCCAGACAGAUGGCUCUCUGGAGGAAGGUUCAAUCAACUAAUUGUGAAGUUCUGAUAGGACUGUGGGGAGGCGUUGACCUAGAGCCGGGGCUCAGGGACAUGAGGCGGCCUGAGGACCAAAUUAAAGUAACAUUUGUUUUAUAAGCUUGCUUCCAAAAUUUCCCAUCUCCCGUUUCACCCUCUCAGAUAUUUCUGCAACUCUAAACAUCCCUGUGUUUGUGUAUGCAGACUUUUUUGGAAUUCAGAGAUCAGGAAUACCGCUUUCAGCUAUGCAUAAACACAUGGACGUGCGGAGCAAGGCCGCGCUCAAGCAUUUGUCCUUGCUGCUGCCUCGAGCUGUGGCCUUAAUUGCCACGGGAGUUGAAGGAGGUGUAAAUAAAGUUGUUGACUGGGAUGAAAAUUCCUUUGCAAAAAAAAUAAAAAAUUAAAAUGAUUCCCAUACUCAUAGGGUUCUUGGACAGAAAGCAAAUGCAAAACGGGUUGUUUUAAAGAGCCCAGUCAAAACAAUAAACUUUCAGACACUUAUAUGUACAGUUAUAUAUCAAAAAUAUUAGAAUAUUGCAUAAAAGUGCAAUAUUUUUCACCGGUCCUCUCAGAAAGUGGAAGACAUUUUACAGAAAUUCAUUACACAUUUUUUUAUUUUUUAGCAGUUUUUGCUGAUUAUGGCUUACAAGCAAAGGGCACCCAAAAUUUAGUGUCUCAGAAAAUUAGAAUAGCACAUCAAAAUAAUAAGAAAAAAAGAUGUGCGAAUGUCAAGAACAUUUCAAUGUGCUCAGUACUUGAUUGAGCCUACUCUUGCAUGAAUGGUCAUUGAAGCAGCUUUUGGUACAUUUGUCAGUGUGGGCAGGUGCCACGUUCUGCUGGAAAAUAAAAUCUGCAUCUCCAUACAGUUUGAUAAAAGGGGGGGGGGGGGGGGGGGGGGGGAUGAAGAGGUCUAGAAUUUCCUGGUAGAUGGCUGCGUCUACCAGGAAACCAUAUGGCACGCCAGACCAUCACUGACAGUGGAAAAUUCCCACUGGUCUUCAAGCAACAUGAAUUUUAUGCCUCUCCACUCUUCCUCCAGGAAACAGGACUCUGGACGAUUGUGCAGCAGUCCCAUUUCUUUCCUCCUUAGGCCAGCUAAUUUCCUCUGAAGUUGUCUCUGGUUCAGGAGAGGCUUAACACGGGAAUGUGACAUUUAUCUAGUAUGUGUCUGUGCAUGGUGGCUCUCCUGAAAUGGAUUUUACUUGACUAUCCUCUCAUGACUGCAGUGCUCCCAGUUGCUGGUUCACCUUUUCCUACCACACUUCUUCCUUCCACUCAAUCUUCUGUCAAUAUGCUUGGAUAGAGAACUCUGUAGCCUUGCCGUUGCCUUCCUAUGUAUUUCCACUAAUCUUGCUUUACAGCUCAGUCUGUGCUUUCUUCCAUUCACUUGGAAUUUUCCAGUAAAAUUUCAACUUGGUCAAUCAGAAGAAGUUGUGAACGAUCACAUUGGUUUUCUGCACUACGAAGUCUGCCUGCAGUUUCAGCAGUGACAGCAGUGGAAGUGAACAAAGGCGUUCAAUCCAUGUUGGUGCACGCUUCCAAACCUUGAAUUAACAUUAACAGCAAUUUCCGGUAAGCUGCUCUAAAUAAAAGAAUGAGCAACAAUUUUGGUAAGACUUGAAGCUACCACUGCAUUGUAGUUCUACAAAGAGCAAAAUCUUGCUAUUCCAGUUUUUGCAGCAUUUAAUAAUGCUCAUCAUACAAUAGUCAAAAACAAAUAGGACUUUUAACAGUCCUUAGAUUUUAAACCGCUGCUACAAUUUUUAGCUGGUGAACAUGCACCCGUAGCUUUCUAACAAUGUUGCUUUUUUGAUCGUCAGCUUCUCCAUUUCUGUGACUGGGAGAGAGCUGGAUUCCUGCUCGAACCCAGCAAAGUUGAUUGGCGAUCGAUCACUCAUGAUGUGAGAUUCUCCCACUUGCUAAACAGGAGGGGGGAAAUGCAUUAUGAUUUAACAUCAGCAUUAUAGAUGUCACCAACAACCUAAUCAAUCAAAAAGCUCAGUUUUUGUCAUUUUUUUGCAAUUUCCCUUCAUUGAAUUAAUUUGUUGUGUGUCAAGAAUGAAAAAGGAUUCAGUGAGUUCUCAAAUUGAUGCCGUAACGGAAUACACUGAAAAGAUUGUUUUUGUCAACUGAAUAUAAUAUUGGUUAAUUACCUUAUCUUCAGAUUGAUAUCUAUUACUACACAAAUGUACGUUUUAUAAAGGGUGGAGAGAGCAAUGUCCAACAUAGCUAUAUCAAAUUAAUCUAAAUCCCUCCAUCCAUUUUCUGUACAUCCUUGUCACUAAUGGGGUCAGGAGGGUUGCUGGUGUCCAUCUCCAACUAACGUUCUAGGGGAG